rnacentral:lncRNA from 1 species
AUGAGACACUAGAGCUGGAAAAAGAGGGCUCUCUUUGAAGGAAGGGUGCUGGGUGAUCAAACUCUUGUCCCGCAAACCCCAUCUUCCCCUUCCCUUCCCCCAAACUCAGCCCCUCUCUCCCCAAACAUCCUUUCAUGCGCACCCCACUCUGGUACUCAAGGAGCCAUGCAAAUAAGAAAGAACUGGCUGCAGGUCCACAGGGGGCUUGCUCGGAGCCACUGACAGCUCCCUUCCGGCGGGGCUGCUUCCAGGGGCGGGAGCUGAAGACAGACCUCGGAGUCUGCCCACUUCUGAGAGCAGCAGCCCGGCUCCUCGUGGCUCCAGCAGCAGGGUUUCCUCUCUGGACCAAGAGCAGUGUCUUAUAAAGUAUCCCGCAGGUAAGUUGCUUUGCUUUGUAAAAGGGGCUGAGAGAGCAAGACCACAUGUGUUGAUGGAA